CUUUGAGCCUGACCUUUA
rnacentral:miRNA from 1 species